rnacentral:rRNA from 1 species
UCCGUAGGGGGCACGCGUUGUCCGGAUUUAUUGGGCGUAAAGAGCGUGUAGGCGGCCAGACAGGUCCGUUGUGAAAACUCGAGGCUCAACCUCGAGACGCCGAUGGAAACCGUCUGGCUAGAGUCCGGAAGAGGAGAGUGGAAUUCCUGGUGUAGCGGUGAAAUGCGCAGAUAUCAGGAAGAACACCCGUGGCUAAGGCGGCUCUCUAGUACGGUACUGACGCUGAGACGCGAAAGCGUGGGGAGCGAACAGG